rnacentral:rRNA from 1 species
CAACUCGCCUACAUGAAGUUGGAAUCGCUAGUAAUCGCGAAUCAGAAUGUCGCGGUGAAUACGUUCCCGGGUCUUGUACACACCGCCCGUCACACCACGAGAGUUUACAACACCCGAAGUCAGUGGCCUAACCGCAAGGAGGGAGCUGCCUAAGGUGGGGUAGAUGAUUGGGGUGAAGUCGUAACAAGGUAAC